rnacentral:rRNA from 1 species
AGCCUGUUGAUUUUUAUAAUAGGUGUUUUCUGCCCGGUGUUGUUUUAAACGGCCGCGGUAUUUUGACCGUGCAAAGGUAGCAUAAUCAUUUGCCCUUUAAUUGGGGGCUGGUAUGAAAGGAAGGUCGAGAUUCUUGCUGUCUCCAUUCUUUUGUUGGAAUUUGCUGUUUUUGUGAAGAAGCAAAGGUCUUAUAAAAAGACAAGAAGACCCUAUCAAGCUUUAUUUUUUUUCUUUGUUUGAAAUGAAUGUUGGAAGAAUAUUUUGGUAAGGUUGAAAAAUUUGGUUGGGGUGAUCGGAGAAGAAAGAAUCUUCUUUGAGUUGUUAAACGAUUCGUUGAAAAAAGAUCCAAGAAAUUUUGAUUGAUAGAAUUAGUUACUGUAGGGAUAACAGCGUAAUCUUUUCGGAGAGUUCUUAUUGGAGAAAAGGUUUGCGACCUCGAUGUUGACUUGUUGUUUCCUUUUAAGGUGUAGCAGCUGGAAGGGUUAGUCUGUUCGACUAUUAAAACGAU